rnacentral:rRNA from 1 species
AGAGUUUGAUCAUGGCUCAGAGCGAACGCUGGCGGCAGGCUUAACACAUGCAAGUCGAGCGGGCGUAGCAAUACGUCAGCGGCAGACGGGUGAGUAACGCGUGGGAACAUACCUUUUGGUUCGGAACAACCCAGGGAAACUUGGGCUAAUACCGGAUAAGCCCUUACGGGGAAAGAUUUAUCGCCGAAAGAUUGGCCCGCGUCUGAUUAGCUAGUUGGUGAGGUAAUGGCUCACCAAGGCGACGAUCAGUAGCUGGUCUGAGAGGAUGAUCAGCCACAUUGGGACUGAGACACGGCCCAAACUCCUACGGGAGGCAGCAGUGGGGAAUAUUGGACAAUGGGCGCAAGCCUGAUCCAGCCAUGCCGCGUGAGUGAUGAAGGCCCUAGGGUUGUAAAGCUCUUUUGUGCGGGAAGAUAAUGACGGUACCGCAAGAAUAAGCCCCGGCUAACUUCGUGCCAGCAGCCGCGGUAAUACGAAGGGGGCUAGCGUUGCUCGGAAUCACUGGGCGUAAAGGGUGCGUAGGCGGGUCUUUAAGUCAGGGGUGAAAUCCUGGAGCUCAACUCCAGAACUGCCUUUGAUACUGAAGAUCUUGAGUUCGGGAGAGGUGAGUGGAACUGCGAGUGUAGAGGUGAAAUUCGUAGAUAUUCGCAAGAACACCAGUGGCGAAGGCGGCUCACUGGCCCGAUACUGGCGCUGAUGCACGAAAGCGUGGGGAGCAAACAGGAUUAGAUACCCUAGUAGUCC